rnacentral:tRNA from 1 species
GUCCUCAUCGUCUAGAGGCCUAGGACACCGCCCUUUCACGGCGGUAACCGGGGUUCGAAUCCCCGUGAGGACGCCA